UUAUUACCACCUGCUCGAGCA
rnacentral:misc_RNA from 1 species